UCUCUCUCAGACCUGAAGAGCGAAGCGGUCAGACCGGAGGUAAUAUCUGCGUGGCUUUUCAACGAUAGUGACUGACAACUGAGGAACACCAAGGGGCUGAAAAGUUACACCGUGGUGACUUUAUUUCUGCUGGACAGGUCACCUGCAGUCUUCCAACGCCCUGUGCUUCUCACCAGUACAUUGAUCGGACCAUGCUGGCUGGCCUGGAUUAAAACCACCGUGUCCACAGACCAGCCAGGACAAAAGCUGAUGACACUUUUCAGUACAGCAAGGUGUAUAACAAUAAGUCCAAGAAGUGGAGCUUGUACUCAUUGAAGGAGGAGAAGGACUACAGUUACAUCGUAGACCUCCAGAGUGCCAUCCUCCUCCUCCUCCUCCGGUUGUCUACUACUGAGGAGAUGCCUAGAAGCAGGACCAGGAGACCUGAUGAUCCCUCUCGUCAUGGGGUUCAGUGAGGUGUCCCUGCCCCAACUGUGUUGCUAGAUACAGCAAAAUAUAAAACAAAAAGUAAUUUGGUUGGUUUUGAAAUGUGGUAAUCAUGUCAGAGAGGUGACUGUGAUAUAUUUAAUCAUCUCCACAGCGGCGAUAUGAUGCUACGAGUAAAGUCUGAACUGUCUUCAUAAUCAGUCAAGAUACAUCUGGAUACACCUUGUCUUCCUGUAUAUACUUAUUUUUAUUGAUGUUUUAAAAAUGAUCUAGUUGUGAUAUAGGUUGUAGUUUUAGUAGUAUAUAA